UACGUAGGGGGCAAGCGUUGUCCGGAAUCAUUGGGCGUAAAGAGCGUGUAGGCGGCUCGAUAAGUCCGCUGUGAAAGUCCAGGGCUCAACCCUGGAAGGCCGGUGGAAACUGUCGGGCUAGAGUCCGGAAGAGGCGAGUGGAAUUCCUGGUGUAGCGGUGAAAUGCGCAGAUAUCAGGAGGAACACCUAUUGCGAAGGCAGCUCGCUGGGACGUAACUGACGCUGAGACGCGAAAGCGUGGGGAGCAAACAGG
rnacentral:rRNA from 1 species